rnacentral:rRNA from 1 species
AGAGUUUGAUCAUGGCUCAGGACGAACGCUGGCGGCACGCUUAACACAUGCAAGUCGAACGAGAGAAGAGGAGCUUGCUUUUCUGAUCUAGUGGCGGACGGGUGAGUAACACGUGAGCAAUCUGCCUUUCAGAGGGGGAUACCGAUUGGAAACGAUCGUUAAUACCGCAUAACAUAAUUGAACCGCAUGAUUUGAUUAUCAAAGAUUUAUCGCUGAAAGAUGAGCUCGCGUCUGAUUAGCUAGUUGGUAAGGUAACGGCUUACCAAGGCGACGAUCAGUAGCCGGACUGAGAGGUUGAUCGGCCACAUUGGGACUGAGACACGGCCCAGACUCCUACGGGAGGCAGCAGUGGGGAAUAUUGCACAAUGGAGGAAACUCUGAUGCAGCGAUGCCGCGUGAGGGAAGAAGGUUUUAGGAUUGUAAACCUCUGUCUUCAGGGACGAAAAAAGACGGUACCUGAGGAGGAAGCUCCGGCUAACUACGUGCCAGCAGCCGCGGUAAUACGUAGGGAGCGAGCGUUGUCCGGAAUUACUGGGUGUAAAGGGAGCGUAGGCGGGAUCGCAAGUCAGAUGUGAAAACUAUGGGCUUAACCCAUAAACUGCAUUUGAAACUGUGGUUCUUGAGUGAAGUAGAGGUAAGCGGAAUUCCUAGUGUAGCGGUGAAAUGCGUAGAUAUUAGGAGGAACAUCAGUGGCGAAGGCGGCUUACUGGGCUUUAACUGACGCUGAGGCUCGAAAGCGUGGGGAGCAAACAGGAUUAGAUACCCUGGUAGUCCACGCCGUAAACGAUGAUUACUAGGUGUGGGGGGACUGACCCCUUCCGUGCCGCAGCAAACGCAAUAAGUAAUCCACCUGGGGAGUACGACCGCAAGGUUGAAACUCAAAGGAAUUGACGGGGGCCCGCACAAGCAGUGGAGUAUGUGGAUUAAUUCGAAGCAACGCGAAGAACCUUACCAGGUCUUGACAUCGUAUGCAUAGCUCAGAGAUGAGUGAAAUCUCUUCGGAGACAUAUAGACAGGUGGUGCAUGGUUGUCGUCAGCUCGUGUCGUGAGAUGUUGGGUUAAGUCCCGCAACGAGCGCAACCCUUACUGUUAGUUGCUACGCAAGAGCACUCUAGCAGGACUGCCGUUGACAAAACGGAGGAAGGUGGGGAUAACGUCAAAUCAUCACGCCCCUUAUGACCUGGGCCUCACACGUACUACAAUGGCUGUCAACAGAGGGAAGCAAAGCCGCGAGGUGGAGCGAACCCCUAAAAGCAGUCUUAGUUCGGAUUGUAGGCUGCAACCCGCCUACAUGAAGUCGGAAUUGCUAGUAAUCGCAGAUCAGCAUGCUGCGGUGAAUACGUUCCCGGGCCUUGUACACACCGCCCGUCACGCCAUGGGAGUCGGUAACACCCGAAGCCUGUAGUCUAACCGCAAGGAGGACGCAGUCGAAGGUGGGAUUGAUGACUGGGGUGAAGUCGUAACAAGGUA